AUUUUAAAAUUUAAUCGAUUUCUACUAUUAAAAGUCGGCAUACUUGAUGGAAUAAUCAAAUAGUCCACAUGUACCUCAUUAUAACUUACGGAUUAGUUUUUAAUAGUAGAAAUGGAUUAAAUUUUUAACA
rfam:Gossypium hirsutum cultivar TM-1 unplaced genomic scaffold scaffold1227.1, whole genome shotgun sequence